rnacentral:rRNA from 1 species
UACCAUGCAGUCGAACGAUGAAGCCCUUCGGGGUGGAUUAGUGGCGAACGGGUGAGUAACACGUGGGCAAUCUGCCCUUCACUCUGGGACAAGCCCUGGAAACGGGGUCUAAUACCGGAUAUUACUCCUGCCUGCAUGGGCGGGGGUUGAAAGCUCCGGCGGUGAAGGAUGAGCCCGCGGCCUAUCAGCUUGUUGGUGGGGUAAUGGCCCACCAAGGCGACGACGGGUAGCCGGCCUGAGAGGGCGACCGGCCACACUGGGACUGAGACACGGCCCA